UUUAUUAAACCAUCAGACUAUGUUUCAUGGGCUUCUUCCUCCAGUCCUAGGGGAUGAAGGUUACCACUUCCACAAAAGGCAUUGUUGUAGAUCCACUGGUGUACAAAACAUUAGACCACCGUGCUACAUAAUGGAAAUGAAACAUUUAAGGGAUACUGAGUGCUGUGGCCUCACUGCAGAUCAGAAUGUGACUGUGAUACAUGAAAAAGUGGCUAAAGCUCUGACUUUCCAUCUGAAGACUGGGCACUUUGCAGUUGAAGGAAGGUGAAGUGCCUACAGUUCUGGGGAUCUUGAACCAUUGAAUGACAGGAUAUGAAAGAAAUCAGUAUUCUUGCAGUAUUCUUGUCUCCCUGGAGUCAGGAAGGCUGGAAAUUUGUUAUCAACCCUGAAACUACUGUUAAUGCUGGGCAUUUUAGAGGAUCAAAGGAAACUUGAUUUUAUCAUACUACAGUCAGGAAGUACAGCAAAGGAAACAAUACCCCUAAGCCUGACUUAAAAGUAGUAUUACAAAGUUUCUGUAAUACUGGAAAAAUUCUCCUUCUCCCAACCAGGGAUCCAGGAUUCACCUCAAGACUAUUCCCUACAUGUUGCUUUUCAUGAAAGGGAACUGAAUUAGGAUAGAGAAACACUUUCUUAUAUUUUUCUGUUCUCAUUUGUAUUUCUUCUGACUGUAUCUUCUCUCCUAUGCAUCCCAAUGUCAUGUCUCUUUUACUCAGACUAUCAGAUGGAUCUCCUUUCUCAUGCAUCUCUUCUGCCACCACCACAAUCCAUGUCACAUGAGGAAACAUUUCCAAAGCAGCUUUACACUACUGAACCCAGACAAGCUCACAAAAUAGCUUGAUUCUUCAAAGAUUCAUUUGUAUAAUGUAGAUGAAUUCUUUCGCCAAAGCCAGUAACUGAGGGAAGCUUACACCACCCUACUUUUGCAUAUGCUUCUACACUUAGUUUCUGGUGCACCUACCUAGAACUAAUCCUUCACCAACAUACUGAAUGAAGUUGAAAUUCUAGGCCGAUUUAAGUAGACAAAGAUCCUUAGCAAAUUGCACAUAAUGCAAUCCUUUUUACAAAAGCAGUUCAGAGUAGCCCUUCAGCUGGUGAAAAUCACUACCUGUCCCAAGGCUGAGUCCUGUUCUGAAAAUAAGAAAACCAUGUUACAAAUAUCAUAGGCUGAGCAAAACUUUGACCUAUUGUGCUCUGACAUGAAAGGCAACCUUCAUUUUUUUUAUAGCUGUUUUUAUAGCACAUAGCCUAAGAGAAAUCAAAUUUUUUAUUUCAAUCCUCGAGUCCUCAAAUAUCAGUGAAGUGAAAGAGGUGUAUUGGUUUACAGUGUUGGCAGGAAUUUUUAAGCCUUCUAUGCUGCAUUAUCAAUCCCCUGACUAAUACAGUAGCCUGGUUUAGUUUAACCAUGAUCUCUAGCUCCAGUAUUCAGCAUUGGACUGUGUAUUUGUAAAAAUGAGAAUUUAGAGUUUCCUCUUGUACAGAGUUGCUGGGUUAUGUGAUAUAGUCACUUAAACCUCCUUCCUCCUAUAUUUAAAUAUUAUUGCUUUAGGAUGUUCAUUCAGGAAACAUUACAUGGAUUAUUCACACACACACAAAAACAUUUACACUUUAAUGAGCAGGAACAAUCAAAUACAAUAAAAUUGAGGUUAUGUAUUUUUCACUAAAAAUGUUUUGAGAUGGUUGAUUGUUUCUUGGCCCUUCUAGCCAAAGGUAUUACAUUUAAGAACAAAUUUUUCCCUAUUGCCAUUAGAAGCAAAUUAUAAUGUUUGCCAAAUUAUAAUGUUUGCCAAACACAUAUAAGGAAAAUUAUUCAGUGUAACACAGUACUAAUAUGUAAUGAACCACAUUUACAUUUUUUUCAUUAGCUACAGUUCCCGUAUUUCUUCAGCAAUAUCUUAAUUAUUCUUGGAGGAUAAUGUUCUACCUCUGCAAAAACACCAAUGUGAGCUCAGAGUUACAGUGCUUUAAAGAAACUUCUAUUUCUACAUGUGUAUUUGGAAUUGUAUUGAGCCAGUUUCACUAGAUCUGUAAUUUUAAAAUGAGAUGUAGUUGAAAGAUUUUGAACACUUCACUACAUGGUUUCUAACCCAGGUCUUAGAAAUCAGAUUAAUACAGAACCUGCAAAGAAAUAUAGGUAAAACUAAGUAGCUGUUUAAAACUGAAGCUCAGGUUGUGCUUAAGAAGGGUGAGACAAUCAUCUCUGGUCCCAUCUAAUCUGCCCUUUCUGCUGUGGAAAGCACUUAUCCACAAACAUUCAACCUGUUCUUGUUUUGCCUUUUUUUUUUUCAGGGAGGAUGGAGGGAAGAGCACUGACUAAAUAUUAGUCCUUCAUUUCUCCUCAUGACUCAAAGUUGUGUUUUAUUCAGCCUAUAAAUAAUUUAUUUUCCUGAUCCUGCAAUAAGAUAAUGCUUCCUUUUUUCCACUACUAUUCACCUCUGGUUUUCUUUGGAAAUGAGUUUUUCUGUGCUUAAAACACUUUCCUGAGGAUAAAACACUGUUUGCAGUUCCAGUGUACUUGCACUGGUGUUGUUAGCCUUAUCUGAGCUGACUGCAGUUUGCUGGUAUCUGGGAAAAUAGUCUAGGGAAGUAUGACUUGUGCCUUGCAUGCUUUGUUUUAAAAUGGUUUCUGAGGCAUUUGUUAGUCUCUGCUUUCAGACACAAUAUUCUGUGUCAGGUGGGCAUGUGGUCUCAUAUGGGGUUGCUGGUCUCUUGUAGUUCUAGCAGGAUUACCCAGGGAUUUGUCAUUUAAAUAUAACAUUUGUUUGCUAUGCAUUUAAGUUAUCCUUUAUC